rnacentral:rRNA from 1 species
CUACCGGGGUAUCUAAUCCUGUUCGCUACCCAUGCUUUCGCUCCUCAGCGUCAGUUACUACCCAGAGACCUGCCUUCGCCAUCGGUGUUCUUCCUGAUAUCUGUGCAUUCCACCGCUACACCAGAAAUUCCAGUCUCCCCUGUAGUACUCAAGUCAGCCCGUAUCGCCUGCACGUCCAGGGUUAAGCCCUAGGAUUUCACAGACGACGUGACAAACCGCCUACGAGCUCUUUACGCCCAGUAAUUCCGGACAACGCUCGCACCCUACGUAUUACCGCGGCUGCUGGCAC